UUUUCCUCCUGCCUCUCGUGAGUGUGCUCUCGGUGCCUCUCUGGUCCUCUUAAUUCUCCUUCUUUACGCCGUUUCUGCUCUGUCGUCUCCCUUAUUACGUCUCUCCUCGUCUUCUUCAGCAGACAGAUAAAGCAGAGACGGAGACAGCUUCCUGGAGCGCAAAGUAAUGGCUGCUCUUUCCAAGUUUCAGCGGCACCGGCAGCAGCAGGCUUGGGAUCAACCUGCCAAAGCACAGCCUUGAAGUUUGGACUUUAAAGCGGACCGCCUGCUUGCUGGGAGGCUGAGCGGGACAGCCCCUCCUUCCCGCUAAACAAACUGUUAGAUAAUGCCCACCAACGGUACAGUACCUGGGGAUGAGUUGAAAAAGCACGCAUGCCCAGUAAAAUGCAAACAAUAAAAGGCCCCUUCACAAAUCCCUGUGUCCAAAUAAAUAAACAUGCUCGAAAAACCCACGGUGGUUUCUCCCUCCUGUCACAUCUGAUGAGCAAAGAAACUGACUGAGCAGGAGGUGAAAAACCUUCUGAACUGAAAAGUCGAUUUUAUGUCCUCAUGUGUCAUUCAUUCAGAAAAUAUCAGUAUAUACUUCCUGAUUUUACCAAAAGAAGAAUAAAUCUGGAAAAUGGA